rnacentral:rRNA from 1 species
UACGUAGGGGGCAAGCGUUGUCCGGAAUCAUUGGGCGUAAAGAGCGUGUAGGCGGCUCGGUAAGUCCGCUGUGAAAGUCCAGGGCUCAACCCUGGAAAGCCGGUGGAAACUGUCGAGCUAGAGUCCGGAAGAGGCGAGUGGAAUUCCUGGUGUAGCGGUGAAAUGCGCGGAUAUCAGGAGGAACACCAAUGGCGAAGGCAGCUCGCUGGGACGGUACUGACGCUGAGACGCGAAAGCGUGGGGAGCAAACAGG